UACAGAGGUCUCAAGCGUUGUUCGGAUUCAUUGGGCGUAAAGGGUGUGUAGGUGGCGCCGUAAGUCGGGUGUGAAAUUUCGGAGCUUAACUCCGAAACUGCAUUCGAUACUGCGGUGCUUGAGGACUGGAGAGGAGACUGGAAUUCAUGGUGUAGCAGUGAAAUGCGUAGAGAUGUGGAGGAACACCAGUGGCGAAGGCGACUCUUUGGUCUGUAACUGACGCUGAGGCGCGAAAGCGUGGGGAGCAAACAGG
rnacentral:rRNA from 1 species